ACGCUCGACACCUACGGGAGGAGCAGUGAGGAAUAUUGGUCAAUGGGCGCUAGCCUGAACCAGCCAAGUAGCGUGAAGGAUGAAGGCUCUAUGGGUCGUAAACUUCUUUUAUAUAAGAAUAAAGUGCAGUAUGUAUACUGUUUUGUAUGUAUUAUAUGAAUAAGGAUCGGCUAACUCCGUGCCGGCAGCCGCGGUAAUCUGAGCGGGCUGGCAAGGC
rnacentral:rRNA from 1 species